GUAGGGUGCGAGCGUUAAUCGGAAUUACUGGGCGUAAAGCGUGCGCAGGCGGUUGUGCAAGACAGGCGUGAAAUCCCCGGGCUUAACCUGGGAAUGGCGCUUGUGACUGCACGACUGGAGUGCGGCAGAGGGGGAUGGAAUUCCGCGUGUAGCAGUGAAAUGCGUAGAUAUGCGGAGGAACACCGAUGGCGAAGGCAGUCCCCUGGGCCUGCACUGACGCUCAUGCACGAAAGCGUGGGGAGCAAACAGGAUUAGAUACCCUGGUAGUCCACGCCCUAAACGAUGUCGACUGGUUGUUGGGCCUUGAGUGGCUCAGUAACGAAGCUAACGCGUGAAGUCGACCGCCUGGGGAGUACGGCCGCAAGGUUG
rnacentral:rRNA from 1 species